UAAAGAGUUGAAACUCCCCCCC
rnacentral:piRNA from 1 species